ACUCAAAUGAAUAGACGGGGACUCGCACAAGCGGUGGAGCAUGUGGUUUAAUUCGAUGAUAAACGAAAAACCUCACCCGGGCUUGAAAUGUAGAUGAAGAUACCUGAAAGGGCUAUCGUCUCACAAGGACAUCUACACAGGUGCUGCAUGGUUGUCGUCAGUUCGUGGCUUGAGCUGUUCCCUUAAGUGGGGUAACGAACGCAACCCCCGUCGUCUGUUAUACGUGUCAGACGAGACAGCCCCACACCAUUGUUCAUGAUCAAAGAUCGUGGUCAGCGGUGUGGGGAGGAAGGUGGGGAUGACGCCAAAUCAGCAUGGCCCUCUGAUGCCCGGGGCCACACACGUGCUACAAUGGCAAAUACAGAGGGUUGCGAACCCGCAAGGGGGAGCCAAUCCCAAAAAGUUUGCCCCAGUUCAGAUCGGGGUCUGCAACUCGACCCCGUGAAGCCGGAAUCGCUAGUAAUCGCAGGUCAGCUAUACUGCGGUGAAUACGUUCUCGAGUCUUGUACACACCGCCCGU
rnacentral:rRNA from 1 species